rnacentral:rRNA from 1 species
UACGUAGGGGGCAAGCGUUGUCCGGAUUUACUGGGCGUAAAGCGCGUGUAGGCGGCCACGCAGGUCCGUUGUGAAAACUGGAGGCUCAACUUCCAGACGUCGACGGAAACCGUGUGGCUAGAGUCCGGAAGAGGAGAGUGGAAUUCCUGGUGUAGCGGUGAAAUGCGCAGAUAUCAGGAAGAACACCCGUGGCGAAGGCGGCUCUCUGGGACGUGACUGACGCUGAGACGCGAAAGCGUGGGGAGCGAACAGG